AGGUGGAAGUGGUCAGAGCUCCUGAAUUCACCAGCGCUCCAGAAGAGUGUCAUCCAUCAUGCUACUAUAAGUGGACUUAGGAGGUGAUUCCUGCUACAUCCUUCCAUGCCACAUGAGAUUCAUGUCUACCAAACCUAAUCCUGGGCUUCAGUGGAAUUAACCGUCCAUCUAGAGACAUAAAGUCAUCUUAUACCUUAUUAUCUUCAACGUACUAUGAGAUCCGUGCCUGGCCUCCUUGCUGCUCCUUGGACAAGAUAAUCUUCUACCUCCUGAUUGAUGGCUUCUUUCAAGAUUCAGCUAAAAACCCACCUUCUACAAGAAGCCUCUCCUGAUCCCCCUUAAUUCUACUACUCUCCCUCUGUGAUUACAUCCCAUUUAUCCUGUAUGUAGCAUGUUUGUACAUAGUUGUUUGCACAGUUGUCUCCCCUAUUAGACUGUGAGCUCCUUGAGAGCAUGGACUGAUAGGAGAUAACAUUUGUCAAUUGUUUAGCAUUGCCCCUGGCAUGUAGUAGAUCCCAUUUUAUAU